UCAAACUAAAUUCACCAAACAUGGCCUUAAUUCUUUCCAUCUGCCCUCUCUUCCUCUUUCAAUCCCACCCUCUGUUACCGGUGGCCACCCCUACCAGAUUCCUCCGGCCACCGCUCCGCCAGUCCUCGCCCUUCCCACCAAUUCCCCUCCACCACUGCCGCCAACCCAUUGCCCAUCCAGCCCCAACCUUUGCAAAACCAGAUCUGGAACCAGAACUCAUCGCGCGAUCGUGAGAUCGUUCCACCACGAUCUCAUGCCAGCGAUCGCUCUUUCAUCGUGAUCUCUCCUCUGUCAUCGCGCAGUCUCACGGUGGCGGCGGUGGAGGAGGCAGGGGGUUAGGGUUUGCGGAGGGAUAGUGGCGGUGGCAGUUGGAUCUAGCAAGUUAUAUAACAUUUAUUAUUAGUUUCUGGAGGAGCUUCCUCAACUGAUGAACUACUGAGCAUCUCCAACGGUAGUAGGCAUUUUACCUAUCUAAAUAUUACUAUAAAAUAUACAUUUUAUUUUGCCUAUCAACUAUCAACUGUUUUAUGUUUCUACUCCAAUCAUGGUCUUUAUUUUAGCUAUUCAUUAACUUUAUAGAAUGUCACGUCAACAACAAAGAUGGAUGGAAAUAAUCCUAAUGAUUAAAUACAUUUUGCCUAGCCUUGAAAGCUAGCUACAUGUAGCUGGUGAAUGUAAGUUGAGUCAAAAUGUGCAUUGGAGUUGAAAAAAGUGAGUCACAUUAGGUAUUUUGAAUAACAAGCAUUGUAUGCGUAAUGGGUUGGAGAUGCUCAAAGCAUGGUGCAUAAAUUUGUUGAGUAAGAGGUAAAAAAGGAGGGUGAUAAAAUUGUACGAUUAUGAAAAUACAAGAAAGCAAUAAUCUAGAACAACCAAGUUGACCCACUCUGCAAAUGGAUACAACCUAACAGAACUUAAAUCUUGUUGUACAGACUACUAAGUUAUGGGUUGUCUACUCCUAGAUACAGGAAUACAAUUUUUUGCAUAUUAUUACUGAUUUCCUUGUAACUGGUAUUGUACCUUUUGUUAUUGGAGUUGAUUGUUACUGAUUUUCCCAUAGCUUACAUUCUGCUUUUGGCUGUUGGAGUUACUAGUUCUGAGUGAAUCACUGACAAGACCUUGGGUUUGGCCCAGUGGUCUUGUAGCCACACCUUAAGGUGUGCUGAGGGAAAAGUUGAGGGAUUCAAGCUAAUGGAGGAGUGGCGACCCCUUUAGUCGCAAUAUAACUUUACUAACAAACUAAAAUCCUACAAUCUUCACACACACACACACACACACA